ACUUUAUUUUCCAUGUAAUUGAGAUCUGGAAGACCAGACAUUGGAAGCAGAGAACUACCUGAAAGCUACACGGAUUUCUGUUUUCACAGUGAAAGUGUGAGUGAUCCAUUGGCACACAUCACUAUUAUAUUAUUAUACACUGCACUGUUAUUUUCUAUUUCCCUACAGUUGGAUUGACCCUAAUAUUUGUAUCCAUAAACUGGAGUAGUCCCAGAAGAUUGGAAGUUAGCGAACGUUGUGCCCAUUCACAAGAAAGGUAAUAGGGAGGAGUCGGGCAACUAUAGGCCAGUAAGCCUUACUUCAGUAGUGGGGAAAGUGGUGGGAACCAUGUUAAAGGAUAGGAUUGUUGAACAUUUAAAAUCACAUGGAUUUCAAUAUCAGAGACAGCAUGGGUUUACUUCAGGGAGAUCAUUCCAAACUUAUCUUAUUGAUUAUCUUGAUUGGUUAACUAAAAUAAUAGUUUAGGGUGGUGCAGUAGACAUUGCUUACCUAGAUUUCAGAUAUAAUUGUGAUCAAUUCACCUAAAUACCAGCGAAUUGUGUGAAUAUAUAAAAAUACUUAGCUUAGAUAUAUAUAUAUAUAUAUAUAUAUAUAUAUAUAUGUAUAUAUAUUUGCACUAUGUCCUUCAUUUUAGCUACUGCAGCAGGAUCCCUAAGUUUUCUUUGUGUAUUUAACUAGAUUUCAGUAAGGCUUUUGACACUGCUGCACAUAGAAGGCUCAUCAAUAAACUGCAAUCUUUAAGUAAGGUAUGUGUUUUUGCUGAUGAUACUAAGAUAUGUAACAGGGUUGAUGUUCCAGGAGGGAUAAGUUAAAUGUCAAAUGAUUUUGGUAAACUAGAAAAAUGGUCAGAGCUGUGGUAACUGACAUGUAAUGUGGAUAAGUGCAAGAUAAUGCAUCUUGGAUGUAAAACCCCAAGGGCGGAGUAUAGAAAAUUUGAUAGAGUCCUAACCUCCACAUCUGAUGAAAGGGAUUUAGGGGUAAUUAUUUCAGCUGACUUAAAGGUAGGCAGACAGUGUAAUAGAGCAGCAGGAAAUGUUAGCAGAAUGCUUGGGUGUAUAGGGAGAGGUAUUGGCAGUAGAAAGAGGGAAGUGCUCAUGCCACUGUAAAGAACACUGGUGAGACCUUACUUGGAGUAUUGUAUGCAGUACUGGAGACCGUAUCUCCAGAAGGAUAUUGAUACUUUGGAAAGAGCUCAGAGAAGGGCUACUAAACUGGUUAAUGGAUUACAGGAUAAAACUUACAAGGAAAGAUUAAAGGAUCUUAACAUGUAUAGCUUGAAGAAAAGACAAGAUGGGGGGAUACGAUAGAAACAUUUAAAUACAUAAAGGGAAUCAACACAGUAAAGGAGGAGACCAUAUUUAAAAGAAGAAAAACUACCAUAACAAGAGAACAGUCUUAACUUACAGGGGCAAAGGUUUAAAAAUAUCAGGGAAUAUUUUUACUGAGACGGUAGUGGAUGCAUGGAAUAGCCUUCUAGCUGAAGUAUUAGAUGUUACCACAGUGAAGGGUGAGGAUACGCAUAAGGCUAUACUAGCUGUAAGAUAAUACCAGGGACUAAUGAGAGAAUUUAGAAAAUUGGGCAGACUAGAUGGGUCGAAUGGUUCUUAUUUGCUGUCACAUUCCAUGUUUCUAUGCAUAGUCAAC